rnacentral:rRNA from 1 species
CAAGUCGAACGCGAAAGUCCCGCAAGGGAUUAGUAGAGUGGCAAACGGGUUAGUAACACGUGGGUGACCUGCCUUCGAGCGGGGGAUAACGUCCCGAAAGGGACGCUAAUACCGCAUGACAUCCUGCCUUUGAAGAGGUGGACAUCAAAGCUGCGGAUCGCAAGACGUAGCGCUCGAAGAGGGGCCCGCGCCUGAUUAGCUAGUUGGUGGGGUAACGGCUCACCAAGGCAACGAUCAGUAGCCGGCCUGAGAGGGCGGACGGCCACACUGGGACUGAGACACGGCCCAGACUCCUACGGGAGGCAGCAGUGGGGAAUUGUUCGCAAUGGGCGCAAGCCUGACGACGCAACGCCGCGUGGAGGACGAAGACCUUCGGGUCGUAAACUCCUUUCGAUCGAGACGAACGGCCUCCGGGUGAACAAUCCGGAGGAGUGACGGUACCGAGAGAAGAAGCCCCGGCUAACUCCGUGCCAGCAGCCGCGGUAAUACGGGGGGGGCAAGCGUUGUUCGGAAUUACUGGGCGUAAAGGGCUCGUAGGCGGCCAACUAAGUCAGACGUGAAAUCCCUCGGCUUAACCGGGGAACUGCGUCUGAUACUGGAUGGCUUGAGAUUGGGAGAGGGAUGCGGAAUUCCAGGUGUAGCGGUGAAAUGCGUAGAUAUCUGGAGGAACACCGGUGGCGAAGGCGGCAUCCUGGACCAACACUGACGCUGAGGAGCGAAAGCCAGGGGAGCAAACGGGAUUAGAUACCCGGUAGUCCUGGCCCUAAACGAUGAAUGCUUGGUGUGGCGGGUAUCAAUCCCUGCCGUGCCGAAGCUAACGCAUUAAGCAUUCCGCCUGGGGAGUACGGGCGCAAGGCUGAAA